GAUGAACGCUGGCGGCGUGCCUAAUACAUGCAAGUCGAGCGAACGGACGAGAAGCUUGCUUCUCUGAUGUUAGCGGCGGACGGGUGAGUAACACGUGGAUAACCUACCUAUAAGACUGGGAUAACUUCGGGAAACCGGAGCUAAUACCGGAUAAUAUUUUGAACCGCAUGGUUCAAAAGUGAAAGACGGUCUUGCUGUCACUUAUAGAUGGAUCCGCGCUGCAUUAGCUAGUUGGUAAGGUAACGGCUUACCAAGGCAACGAUGCAUAGCCGACCUGAGAGGGUGAUCGGCCACACUGGAACUGAGACACGGUCCAGACUCCUACGGGAGGCAGCAGUAGGGAAUCUUCCGCAAUGGGCGAAAGCCUGACGGAGCAACGCCGCGUGAGUGAUGAAGGUCUUCGGAUCGUAAAACUCUGUUAUUAGGGAAGAACAUAUGUGUAAGUAACUGUGCACAUCUUGACGGUACCUAAUCAGAAAGCCACGGCUAACUACGUGCCAGCAGCCGCGGUAAUACGUAGGUGGCAAGCGUUAUCCGGAAUUAUUGGGCGUAAAGCGCGCGUAGGCGGUUUUUUAAGUCUGAUGUGAAAGCCCACGGCUCAACCGUGGAGGGUCAUUGGAAACUGGAAAACUUGAGUGCCCAUUAGGAAAGUGGAAUUCCAUGUGUAGCGGUGAAAUGCGCAGAGAUAUGGAGGAACACCAGUGGCGAAGGCGACUUUCUGGUCUGUAACUGACGCUGAUGUGCGAAAGCGUGGGGAUCAAACAGGAUUAGAUACCCUGGUAGUCCACGCCGUAAACGAUGAGUGCUAAGUGUUAGGGGGUUUCCGCCCCUUAGUGCUGCAGCUAACGCAUUAAGCACUCCGCCUGGGGAGUACGACCGCAAGGUUGAAACUCAAAGGAAUUGACGGGGACCCGCACAAGCGGUGGAGCAUGUGGUUUAAUUCGAAGCAACGCGAAGAACCUUACCAAAUCUUGACAUCCUUUGACAACUCUAGAGAUAGAGCCUUCCCCUUCGGGGGGGCAAAGUGACAGGUGGUGCAUGGUUGUCGUCAGCUCGUGUCGUGAGAUGUUGGGUUAAGUCCCGCAACGAGCGCAACCCUUAAGCUUAGUUGCCAUCAUUAAGUUGGGCACUCUAAGUUGACUGCCGGUGACAAACCGGAGGAAGGUGGGGAUGACGUCAAAUCAUCAUGCCCCUUAUGAUUUGGGCUACACACGUGUUACAAUGGACAAUACAAAGGGCAGCGAAACCGCGAGGUCAAGCAAAUCCCAUAAAGUUGUUCUCAGUUCGGAUUGUAGUCUGCAACUCGACUACAUGAAGCUGGAAUCGCUAGUAAUCGUAGAUCAGCAUGCUACGGUGAAUACGUUCCCGGGUCU
rnacentral:rRNA from 1 species